rnacentral:rRNA from 1 species
UACGAAGGGGGCUAGCGUUGCUCGGAAUUAUUGGGCGUAAAGAGCUCGUAGGCGGUGUGUCACGUCGGCCGUGAAAACCUGCAGCUUAACUGUGGGCGUGCGGUCGAUACGGGCAUCACUGGAGUUCGGCAGGGGAGACUGGAAUUCCUGGUGUAGCGGUGAAAUGCGCAGAUAUCAGGAGGAACACCGGUGGCGAAGGCGGGUCUCUGGGCCGAUACUGACGCUGAGGAGCGAAAGCGUGGGGAGCAAACAGG